rnacentral:rRNA from 1 species
GCCCUUCGUCCUUCAUCGGCUCUUAGUGCCAAGGCAUCCACUGUACGCCCUUAUUUUCUUCAUUAUUUUGAGAAUUUACGUUGUUUAUCUACUUUUCAAAGAACUUUUUUGAUUUUCAGUACAUUUAGACUGGUGGGCCUAAAUGGACUUGAACCACCGACCUCACGCUUAUUAUGCGUGUGCUCUAACCAACUGAGCUAUAGGCCCUUAAAAUCUUAAAGAAUAUUAUAUUAAAAGAAUUAACUAAUGAAAAAAACGAAAAACUUAUUUUUUAAAUUAACUUAAGUCUUUCAAAACUGAAGAUGAUGAUUUUAAAAAAUUUCCUUAGAAAGGAGGUGAUCCAUCCCCACCUUCCGGUAGGGAUACCUUGUUACGACUUAACCCCAAUCAUCGACCCUACCUUAGACGAUUCCCUCUGCUUACGCAGUUAGGCUGUCGCUUUCGGGUAUUGUCCACUUUCGUGGUUUGACGGGCGGUGUGUACAAACCCCGAGAACGUAUUCACCGCGACAUGCUGAUUCGCGAUUACUAGCGAUUCCAACUUCAUGAAGUCGAGUUGCAGACUUCAGUCCGAACUGAGACUAUUUUUUUGAGAUUUNGCCAAAACUCGCGUUUCAGCUACUCUUUGUUAUAGCCAUUGUAUCACGUUUGUAGCCCAGAUCAUAAGGGGCAUGAUGAUUUGACGUAAUCCCCACCUU